rnacentral:lncRNA from 1 species
CGGGCUCCUGUGGAUCGUCGCUCGGGCAGCGCGAAUCGCGCUCAGGUCAGGGGCGAUAGCAGCGUCGCGGCAUCUCGGGGCAGAUCUGCUGCGGCGGAGCGAGGGAUCGGGUCGCGGCUUGGCGGAGCUUCAGGUCGGCGUCGGGACUGCUGGCGUCGCGUCGCCGCGGGUGGAGCAACGAGCAACGGUGGCAGGCCGAAGCGGAGGCGCGGUGGUGCGGCUGCGACGACGCGGUAGCUCGGGUAGCAGAGGAACACCGUAGGCAAAACCUACGA